rnacentral:lncRNA from 1 species
GUCCUUGUGGUUGCACAAUAAAGCAACACAUUCAAACAUGCCGCAUGCAUCUCUAUGCACCAAGACAGUAUUAUAUCAAUCUCCAUAGCAAGCCAUGUGAUUACACAACAAACCUAUUAUGGCUCUUAACAUAAUAUUGGCUUUGCAUGAAGGAAGGCCCGUGUAGUGUCUUCAAUACAAAGCAUUCCGAUAUCAAAACUCAAUCAACCAAAUUGGCC